rnacentral:rRNA from 1 species
AUCAUUACCGAGUUCGUGCCCUUCGGGGUAGACCUCCCACCCUGUGUGUAUCUGUACGCUGUUGCUUUGGCGGGCCCGCCGUUCGCGGCUACCGGCUCAGGCUGGUACGUGCCCGCCAGAGGACCCCACAACCCUGAAUAUUAGUGUCGUCCGAGUCCUAUAAUAAUCGUUAAAACUUUCAACAACGGAUCUCUUGGUUCUGGCAUCGAUGAAGAACGCAGCGAAAUGCGAUAAGUAAUGUGAAUUGCAGAAUUCAGUGAAUCAUCGAAUCUUUGAACGCACAUUGCGCCCCCUGGCAUUCCGGGGGGCAUGCCUGUUCGAGCGUCAUUGCACCCCUCACGCUCCGCGUGGUGUUGGGCCCUUGCGGGCGACCGCAGGCCCUAAAGCAAGUGGCGGCGCCCCAACUUUUACCAGUUUGACCUCGGAUCAGGUAGGGAUACCCGCUGAACUUAAGCAUAUCAAUAAGCGGAGGAAAAGAAACCAACAGGGAUUGCCUCAGUAACGGCGAGUGAAGCGGCAAGAGCUCAAAUUUGAAAUCUGGCCCUUUCAGGGUCCGAGUUGUAAUUUGUAGAAGAUGCUUCGGGCGUGGUGCCGGUCUAAGUCCCUUGGAACAGGGCGUCACAGAGGGUGAGAAUCCCGUAUGUGACUGGCCACCUACGCCCGUGUGAAGCUCUUUCGACGAGUCGAGUUGUUUGGGAAUGCAGCUCUAAAUGGGUGGUAAAUUUCAUCUAAAGCUAAAUACCGGCCAGAGACCGAUAGCGCACAAGUAGAGUGAUCGAAAGAUGAAAAGCACUUUGGAAAGAGGGUUAAACAGUACGUGAAAUUGUUGAAAGGGAAGCGCUUGCAAUCAGACUUGCGCCUGGGUGAUCAUCCGGGGUUCUCCCCGGGGCACUCGCUCAGGCGCAGGCCAGCAUCGGCUUCGGUGGUGGGAUAAAGGCCCAGGGAACGUAGCCCCUCUCGGGGGGUGUUAUAGCCCUGGGUGCAAUGCCGCCUACCGGGGCCGAGGACCGCGCUCG